UUGAAGUCCGGGCUUCGAACGGGGUGACGCGCAGUGACGCCUCAAUGGUUGCCAGACACGGUGAGCUUCGCAGCGCAGCGCCUUCAGGCCACUGUUCGAAGCGCCUCUCCUCCAGAGCCGGGGCUGCGAUUGUGCGUUGGGCGGCCGUGAGGCCGAGAAGCAUGCGCGCCAGGGGCGCUGGCUGCCCCGCUUGGCUGCUGGCCCUCGGAUGGCUGAUCCUGGUGGGCCUGCAGGCCUCGCAGGCAUCGAAUGUCACCUCCUCCAUCCAGGAUCCCGGCAUGGCCCGCGAGGGCGAGAGCAGCAGCGAGAACGAGCCCGAGGAGGAGAUUGAGAACGAAGGCGAAGUGGUUGAGACUGAUACCACGAUCGAGGCCGAGGAAGAGGUUCAGAACAAAACAGUAGUCAAGGAAGUAGAAUUCGGAAUGUGCACAGUCACGUGUGGUGUUGGUAUCAGAGAAGUAAUUUUAACCAAUGGAUGCCCUGGAGGUGAAUCCAAAUGUGUUGUUCGUGUGGAAGAAUGCCGUGGACCUGUUGAUUGUGGCUGGGGUAGACCAAUUUCUGAAAGUCUUGAAAGUGCUAGACUAUCAUGUAUCCAUAUAUCUCCUGAAAAUCGUUUCAAAUAUAUAUGGAAGCUCCUAAAGCCAGAUCAACAACCUGUUAUACUGAUAAAUGACUCAGCAGUCCUGGAAGUACCAAGAGAACUUCAUCCUAUGGCUUUCGAGUGUGACACCUUGGAUAAUAAUGAAAUGGUGGCAUCUGUUAAGUUCACAGUCUAUACAACAACUGGAAUGGCCCAUUUAGAUGUCAUUCCCCACUUGCGUCUGGCGGCACCCAUCACUGGAUGUUUCUCUACUUUUAGAAUUGCAGAUGAAAAGAUCCACCAGACCAGACACUGAUGCCGUCUUAGUCUUCGUGCUGACCAUAGGAGUCAUCAUCUGCAUAUUUGUGAUCUUUGUAUUGAUUUUCAUAAUCAUAAAUUGGGCGGCAGUGAAAUCCUUCUGGGGGGCA